rnacentral:rRNA from 1 species
UACGUAGGGGGGCAAGCGUUGUCCGGAAUCAUUGGGCGUAAAGCGCGUGUAGGCGGCCUAGCAUGUCGGGUGUGAAAGCCCUCGGCUUAACCGAGGAAGUGCGCCCGAAACUACUAGGCUUGAGUACCGGAGAGGGUGGCGGAAUUCCCGGUGUAGAGGUGAAAUUCGUAGAUAUCGGGAGGAACACCAGUGGCGAAGGCGACUACCUGGCCUGUUCUUGACGCUGAGGCGCGAAAGCUAGGGGAGCAAACGGG